rnacentral:rRNA from 1 species
UACAGAGGUCUCAAGCGUUGUUCGGAUUCAUUGGGCGUAAAGGGUGCGUAGGCGGCGCGGUAAGUCGGGUGUGAAAUCUCGGAGCUUAACUCCGAAACUGCAUUCGAUACUGCCGUGCUUGAGGACUGGAGAGGAGACUGGAAUUUACGGUGUAGCGGUGAAAUGCGUAGAUAUCAGGAGGAACACCUGUGGUGUAGACAGCUUACUGGACCACGACUGACGCUGAGGCACGAAAGCGUGGGUAGCAAACAGG